UAGGUAAGACAAAAAAUUUCAAUGACAAAAAAGGAGUUCAGGAUUGGGUGAUAUGGGCAAAAUUUACGAAGAUGAGGUGACGAUCCAAGAUCUGGACAAACAGAUCUUGGAUCUGGCCAAAGAUCCAAGGUGCGGCUAAGAUAGAAAGGGGGCGGCACAGAUAUAUAUGCAGAUGGCUUAGAAAUUCAGAAGUUGAUAUUGCUGGAAGAAAAGUUGUGUUAAUGGGCCUCUCUUUGAAAUAAAUAAAUCUUCACUCUCGAUUUCAAUUUCAAAUCUUACAGCUUGCUCUUGGGUUUCGGGUUUGGUCACGGAGAUCAUUUGUGUUGUGCUUCUGACUUAAAGAAGAUACUAAUCAGUGGACUUGCAUUUGGAUUUUCUUUUGUGCUCCGAAAUUGAGUUCUUUUUAAUGUCUAAGAACAGUCUUUUUUUGCAUUGAUGUGGUGUGGGUGAGUUUGCACCCUUUUUAAUUCAGUUUUUGUGCCUUUUUUAAUUCAGUAA